UGGUCAAGUUAUUAAGGGUGCAGGGCGGAUGCCUUGGCACUAGGAGCCGAUGAAGGACGUGAUAAGCUGCGAUAAGCUUCGGGGAGUUGAACGUAAACUUUGAACCGAAGAUUUCUCAAUGAGGUAACUCACUUAGAGUAAUGUCUAAGUAUCAUUAAGUGAAUACAUAGCUUAAUGAGGGGAACUCAGGGAACUGAAACAUCUAAGUACCUGAAGGAAGAGAAAGAAAUUCGAUUCCGUAAGUAGCGGCGAGCGAACGCGGAUUAGCCCAAACCAAUAAAGUUUUCUUUAUUGGGGUUGCGGACAUAUCAUAACGAAGAGGUAUCGUAAUUGAAGAGGUUUGGAAAGACCCACCACAGAAGGUAAUAGUCCUGUAUGUUAAACGAGAAGACUUUAGAUAUGAUCCAGAGUACCACGGGACACGUGAAACCCUGUGGGAAGCAGGAGGGACCACCCCACAAGGCAAAAUACUACCUAGUGACCGAUAGCGUAUAGUACCGUGAGGGAAAGGUGAAAAGAACCCCGGGAGGGGAUUGAAAUCGACCCUGAAACCCUGCACUUACAAGCUGUGGAAGCACAUUUCUUGUGUGACCGCGUACUUUUUGUAGAACGGGCCAACGAGUUACGUUAAGUAGCAAGGUUAAGCACUUAAGGUGUGGAGCCGUAGCGAAAGCGAGUUUUAACUGAGCGUUCAGUUACUUGACGUAGACCCGAAACCGGGCGACCUACCCAUGAGCAGGAUGAAGCGAAAGUAAAAUUUCGUGGAGGUCCGAACCCACGAGCGUUGAAAAGCUCGGGGAUGACUUGUGGGUAGCGGUGAAAUUCCAAUCGAGCCCGGAGAUAGCUGGUUCUCCCCGAAAUAGCUUUAGGGCUAGCCUCAAGGUGAGAGAUACGGAGGUAGAGCACUGAAUGUCCUAGGGGGUAUUGCACCUACCGAAGACUAUCAAACUCCGAAU
rnacentral:rRNA from 1 species